rnacentral:rRNA from 1 species
UACGUAGGUGGCAAGCGUUGUCCGGAUUUACUGGGCGUAAAGGGCGCGUAGGCGGCCAUACAGGUCCGUUGUGAAAACUCGAGGCUCAACCUCGAGACGUCGAUGGAAACCGUAUGGCUAGAGUCCGGAAGAGGAGAGUGGAAUUCCUGGUGUAGCGGUGAAAUGCGCAGAUAUCAGGAAGAACACCCGUGGCGAAGGCGGCUCUCUGGGACGGUACUGACGCUGAGACGCGAAAGCGUGGGGAGCGAACAGG